UACAGAGGGUGCGAGCGUUAAUCGGAAUUACUGGGCGUAAAGCGUGCGUAGACGGUUUUGUAAGUCGGAUGUGAAAUCCCCGGGCUCAACCUGGGAAUUGCAUUCGAGACUGCAAGGCUUGGGUGCGGAAGAGGGAAGCGGAAUUUCCGGUGUAGCGGUGAAAUGCGUAGAUAUCGGGAGGAACACCUGCGGUGUAGACGGCUUACUGGACGGUAACUGACGCUGAGGCACGAAAGCGUGGGUAGCAAACAGG
rnacentral:rRNA from 1 species